CAGCCGCCACGGUAAUACAGAGGGUGCGAGCGUUAAUCGGAUUUACUGGGCGUAAAGCGUGCGUAGGCGGCUUCUUAAGUCGGAUGUGAAAUCCCUGAGCUUAACUUAGGAAUUGCAUUCGAUACUGGGAAGCUAGAGUAUGGGAGAGGAUGGUAGAAUUCCAGGUGUAGCGGUGAAAUGCGUAGAGAUCUGGAGGAAUACCGAUGGCGAAGGCAGCCAUCUGGCCUAAUACUGACGCUGAGGUACGAAAGCAUGGGGAGCAAACAGGAUUAGAUACCCCGGUAGUCCCUGUCUCUUAUAU
rnacentral:rRNA from 1 species